AAACAGUCAUGUGGACCUAGCCUGAGGUAGUAGCCAUAGAUGUCAGUGGCAAGACAGAAGAUUCAGUCUCUAAACAAAACCAUCAACUCUCAGAAAGAAGAGUCUAUGUCCCUGUACACAGAAUCUGGCUUGACUUUGCGACUUGCUUUCACCAAUCAAAUGCAGAAGAAGUGAAGUCUGGUCCUCAGGAGGUUUUGUACUCCUCUGCUGACUCUCCUGGGAUGCUAAAAACGCCAUGAGUCCUAGUUACGACUAACUUACAUGGCCUAGUCACCUCCAUUGUCCAAGCCAAUAGGUACCCAGCCAUCACACCUAGAGUGAGGCCAUUCCAAUCUCCAGCUGAUCUGCUGUGGAUGAGCAUGGCCAAGAUCAACUGAGCUUGGCUCAGAUGAGCAAGACUCCCUGGAUAACCUACAAUCUUGUUGGGCCAAGAAGACAUAUGUGCAUAGAAAUCUUUGAACUUUGCUGAUAAGAGAAAGCCUAGAAUUCCAAGCCAACUCCUUCAUUGAAUAGAUGAGGAACAUAAAGCCAAGAGAAAAUGAUAGGCUUGAC
rnacentral:lncRNA from 1 species